rnacentral:rRNA from 1 species
ACAUGCAAGUCGAGCGGGGUGAUGGUGCUUGCACUAUCACUUAGCGGCGGACGGGUGAGUAAUGCUUAGGAAUCUGCCUAUUAGUGGGGGACAACAUUUCGAAAGGAAUGCUAAUACCGCAUACGUCCUACGGGAGAAAGCAGGGGAUCUUCGGACCUUGCGCUAAUAGAUGAGCCUAAGUCGGAUUAGCUAGUUGGUGGGGUAAAGGCCUACCAAGGCGACGAUCUGUAGCGGGUCUGAGAGGAUGAUCCGCCACACUGGGACUGAGACACGGCCCAGACUCCUACGGGAGGCAGCAGUGGGGAAUAUUGGACAAUGGGCGGAAGCCUGAUCCAGCCAUGCCGCGUGUGUGAAGAAGGCCUUAUGGUUGUAAAGCACUUUAAGCGAGGAGGAGGCUACUUUAGUUAAUACCUAGAGAUAGUGGACGUUACUCGCAGAAUAAGCACCGGCUAACUCUGUGCCAGCAGCCGCGGUAAUACAGAGGGUGCAAGCGUUAAUCGGAUUUACUGGGCGUAAAGCGCGCGUAGGCGGCUAAUUUAGUCAAAUGUGAAAUCCCCGAGCUUAACUUGGGAAUUGCAUUCGAUACUGGUUAGCUAGAGUGUGGGAGAGGAUGGUAGAAUUCCAGGUGUAGCGGUGAAAUGCGUAGAGAUCUGGAGGAAUACCGAUGGCGAAGGCAGCCAUCUGGCCUAACACUGACGCUGAGGUGCGAAAGCAUGGGGAGCAAACAGGAUUAGAUACCCUGGUAGUCCAUGCCGUAAACGAUGUCUACUAGCCGUUGGGGCCUUUGAGGCUUUAGUGGCGCAGCUAACGCGAUAAGUAGACCGCCUGGGGAGUACGGUCGCAAGACUAAAACUCAAAUGAAUUGACGG